rfam:Bombyx mori DNA, contig: Bm_scaf5270_contig50479, strain: p50T/Dazao, build 2, whole genome shotgun sequence.
AAAAAGGCCCUUUUCAGGGCCGCAAUUCAUUCAUAUAACAGAAUAC